GACGUAGGGUGCCAGCGUUGUUCGGAAUUACUGGGCGUAAAGGGUUCGUAGGCGGUGCGGCAAGUUGGGAGUGAAAUCUCUGGGCUUAACCCAGAGGCUGCUUCCAAAACUGCUGUGCUUGAGUGUGGGAGAGGCGCGUGGAAUUGCAGGUGUAGCGGUGAAAUGCGUAGAUAUCUGCAGGAACACCCGUGGCGAAAGCGGCGCGCUGGACCACUACUGACGCUGAGGAGCGAAAGCGUGGGGAGCGAACAGG
rnacentral:rRNA from 1 species